UAUUCUGCCCCACGGGGAAGGAUGAGAAGCUUCGACUAAGGUUCGACUCGAGCGUAGCGAGAGAACGUUGCCGAAGGCAACGGCCCGAAGGGCGAGGCGCUUUAGCGCCGAGUAAUCCUUCCCCCACCGCUG
rnacentral:sRNA from 1 species